GGCGGGGCCGCGCGGGCCUGCGGCAGUCCCGGCCGCCGCCGCCGCCGCCGCCGCCGAAGGGUCUGGAAGCGAGGGCGCUGUUGACGUUUUCAAAUGCUCUCGUUCGUAAGAACAAAUCCAUGACUUCAGUGACAAACUGAUUCAGCUUCCUAUGUUACCAGAAAGAUGCAGCGGAAUAUCUAAGUGGUUUUCCCAUAAAGUCGGGGCAGACAGAUGAACAGCACAGUGUGGCGUGGGCUCGAGUUAUCCUGCUUCACACUAGACCUUCUAAAAGAAAAAUGGAGACACGUUCCUCAAACUGGGAGCCAGGCAACACAUUGCUACAAGCUGCGGGUAGUUGAGCUCUGGGUUUGAGUCGGAGAACGGUCUGCAGUCGCUAAUGAAGAAAAUAGCAUGCAGAGUACCUUCCUGUAAAAAGACGCUGGAACACGGGGAUGAAGGCUCUGUGUAGGCACCAGCUCAACAUCUCCACGUUCAGUGAGUUGUGUGGGUGUUGUCUUCGUUAAUGGAGCCUUGCUGUCAGUCUGUGGAGAUCAACCUAUAGCAUUGGCAAUGGCCUGGGUUGUUUGGGGAAUUCCAUGGGACCUCUCUGGCCAACAGCUCAAAAGAUGAGAACCUGUGGAUUGCUUCCAGGCUAAUAUGGUUUGACCAGCCAAGACCCCCUGAAAAGUUUCUGAUGACACCAUGGCCCAGAUGAUCCAACAUCCAGAAUGGUUUCAAGGCAACUGGCUCAGACAAUGCAGCCUCAUAGACUAUUCCAGUCAGGACUUGACCAUAAUCCUAAAAUUUUCUUUGUAUCCCCAUAGAAAUACAGCACCCUUUAUCAGCAGGAAGUAGCCUAGAAAGCUAUACCCACAUUCCCAAAAAAUGGAUUAUGAAUGUUUAUCUUUGUUUAGGUUGUUGGUUACAAAUUGUUAUUGGUCACAGUCAAUCUCUUUCUAGAAGAAGAAAGAGAGAUAUGAUAUAGAAAUAUAGGAUAAAUAUUUUACAUUGCUAUAGAUUUUAGUUUAUUGAUAAAAAUUUAAAGUUAUUUUGUUAUACUUUAUAUAUUUCUACUCUCGUUUAAGGUAUUAUGUUUAUGUAACUCAUUUAAAUUGUAAUGAUAAUUAAGAAAUAUAGAUUAAUUAUUAGUCUUCUAUGAUAGUCAAACUUAUAAUCAUGUUAAGUUUUCUAGGUAUACAUAGAUAUAAUUCAAUUAGGUAGAUAAUCUUCAAACACUUCAAAGACCUACAGAAUAUGGCAUUUAAAGUGUUUUAAAAACUUAGACUUUCUGGACAAUGAGACACAUCUGUUCUUGGCAGCACCGAUUUACUUCAAAGAGAAAGAUGGGCGUUGAAGAUACUCCAUAUGGAGUUUACCUUCUUCUUGGGAAAAAUAGUCAUUUGGGCAAGAAACUGUUCUUGCCUGGACUGCUUGACAAAAUAUUGUAUCGGCUGGACAUGCAGAACCCAUAGGAAGGUGACCACUGAACUUUGCAAAGCAAAAUGGUCCUUCAGGUUCCUGCUUCACAGAAGAAACUGCCAGAUAUUCUACAGGACACAGAGAAGAGAUUGAGAAAUUCUAGGCUGAAGAUGGAUGCCCCAAAGUUACAGAGGAACUUUGAAUGACUGUAUAGGCAGCCAACUGUCUCUGUCAUUCUAGAUUUUUGGAAGUUGCUUAUAAUGCAUUUUCUGUUUACUUAGUUAAUAUUAUAUCCUUCUGGGGUCUUUCAUGUAGUUGAAGACUAGAUAAUUAUAAUUAUAAUUUUUCUUGGUUAUGAUAAAAAAUAAAUUAGAUAUGAAACUUUAGACUCACAAAUAUAGGAUAGAUAGAAUAUUUUCUUUUAUUUUGCCAAAUACAAAUAAACUAGAUAUUGUAACUGUAAUUCUUGCUUGAUAACUGUUCUAUUAUAUGUAAUUUUAUCAUGUUAAAGUUAAAACCUACCUUUUUGAUUAGACAGAAAAGGAGAAGUGCUGUGGAAUGUCUUUCUAUACGCUGCGAAUAUAUGUUACUCUGAUUGGUUGAUAAAUAAAAAGCUGAUUGGCCAGUAGCCAGGCAGGAAGUAUAAGUGGAAUAAACAGACAAAGAGAAUUCUGGGAAGAGGAAGGCUGAGUCAGGAUACACCAGCCCACCGUUCAGGGAGCAGCAUGUAAUAGCACACAGGUAAAGCCAUGGAACAUGUGGCGAUAUAUAGAUGAACAGAAAUGGGCUGAGUUUAAGUGUAAGAGCUAGUCAGUAGUUAGCCUGAGCUAAUGGCUGAACAGUUUUAAUUAAUAUAAGCCUCUGUGUGUUUUCUUAGGUGGUUGCAGACCGGGCGGGACACAGGAAAACUUCAGCUACAGCAAAUGUUCCAUAUUCUUGGUAUUUCUAAAAUAUUGGAGUCUCUGCUACAGCUUCACCUUUGCAGCUUCAUGUGUUGUUGUAUUAGGGGACACCUGCAGAGACCUAUGACCUGAGACCCUGCUACAUAUGAUGUGGUCUCUUAGGUGUCCGUGCAACUCUUGGAUUCUGUAUCACAUGAAUGACACCAAGGUCUUCUGCUUUCUUGUGAAUAUAGGGGACCCUUUUGACAGUGGCUGCAAUAGCCUCUGAGGGCCUGAGCAGCUGAAUACAGGGACGCAUUUCCUAGAUAAUCCCAUGUGAGCACGGCACCCCACAGUGCUCCUUACUCAAAGGAAAGACUUUCCUAAUGAAUUUAUAAUUUCAUGUCAUAGAACUCUCAGUGGAAGGGGCCUUGUUGUAGAAUAUUAGUUGAAGAUGUGUGACAUUUGUUUAUGCUGUGGAGUAUUGGUUUAAUGGUGCAAAGAUGUGUCACCUUCUUUUAUGUUGCAUUUGCUUAACUCUGUGAAGCUAUGUUGCUUUGCAUAUCUAAAACUCCUGAUUGUUCUAAUAAAGAGUUGAAUGGCAAAUAGUGAGGUGGGAGAAAGGAUAGGCGGUCUGGCAGGCAGAGAGAAUAAAUAGGAGGAGAAAUCUGGGAGGAGAGGAUUGGGGAGUGAGAAAAGAAGGAGAGGAAGACAUCAAGGGCCAGCCAGCUAUGGAAUAAGAAGGAAAGAAAAGAUAUACAGAAAUAGAGAAAGGUAAAAGCCCAGAGGCAAAAGGUAGACAGGAUAAUUUAAGUUAAGAAAAGCUGGUUAGAAAUAAGCCAAGCUAAGGCUGAGCAUUCAAAAGUAUGAAAAGCCUCUGUGUGCCUCCAAAAGCCCGAAGAGUAAAGAGUUAAAAAAAAAACAAAACCAAAAA